rnacentral:pre_miRNA from 1 species
UGGUUUUGUCUGAAGUCAAACUUUCUUAAGUUGGACCAAAUUUAUAUAAAAGAUUAUCAAUUUUUAUGAUACCAAAUAAACAUACUAUAAAAAUAUAUUUUAUCAUAAAUCUAAUGAUACUUAUUUGGUUUCAUAAAAAAUAGUAACUUUUUGUACAAAUUUGGUUAAACUUAAGAGUUUGACUUCAAACAAAAUCAA